rnacentral:lncRNA from 1 species
CGAGUAAGAGCUAGACGAGUUUUUUUUUUAAUUUUUGAAUGUUUUUAAUAAAUAAUUUUAUUACUAAACCCACCCAAAGAUAAAUAUUUUCAUGAUACGAACCUUUUGGCCACAUCAUCCCGUCUGUUGCAAGAGACUACACUGUCACAUAGAGUAGUUGGUGUGACAACAUUAUCUUACCAAGAUAGUGGGACAUCAUGUCAUCCAGCUUAAUGUGAUAGCUCUCUUUAAUACUAGGGAUGAAAUGGUCAGAAAAAAAAGGUUUAUGUCUAAAAUAUUUUCUUUCGAGGUUUAGUACUAAAAAUAUUUAUUACAAAUAUUUAAAAAUAAAAGAAAUCCGAGCUAAGCACUACAUCGUCUAAUUUAGGCGUCCAUGGAUCCACGCCACCUCUAGCUCAAAACUACUCCAGAUUGUUGUGUUCUGCUAAAUAAAAGGGAUAUGUAUUCGCUCUAUAUUGAGUCGACGGAUC